rnacentral:rRNA from 1 species
UACUAGAGUAGCACUCGCAUAUCAAUAAGCGGAGGAAAAGAAACUAACAAGGAUUCCCUAGUAACGGCGAGUGAAGCGGGAAGAGCUCAAAUUUGAAAUCUUCAAGGUUUACCUUGACGAAUUGUAGUUUAAAGAAGUGUUUUCUGUUAGAGAGUUGGUAUAAGUUCUUUGGAAUAGGACAUCAUAGAGGGUGAGAAUCCCGUAUUUGAUCACUUUCUACUAGCUGUUGUGAUACACUUUCAAAGAGUCGGAUUGUUUGGGAAUGCAGUCCAAAAUGGGUGGUAAAUUUCAUCUAAAGCUAAAUAUUGGCGAGAGACCGAUAGCGAACAAGUACCGUGAGGGAAAGAUGAAAAGAACUUUGAAAAGAGAGUUAAACAGUACGUGAAAUUGUCAAAAGGGAAGCGUUUGACACCAGUGUUGUUUUUCCGAAAAUCAACUAAAAAUGAUGGGAUUUUGUGUUGUAUUGACUUUAUCAGCUUUCUGCACUUUUUUCUUAUCUUUUUAAUGCACUUUUCGUUUAACAAGUCAACAUCAAUUUCUUUUGUUGUAAAAGAGUCAUUGGAAGGUGGCUUUUUCUUCGGAAAAAGUGUUUAUAGCCUUUGGCUUCUGCAAUCGGAGAGAUUGAGGUCUGCAGCGUAGAUCCUUCGGGGUUAGAUACAUUUGUGCUAAGCUAUAGUUCUUUAUAGACAACUUGUUGACUAUAAUCAAUCCUGUAACUUACUCGCUUAUGCUAUUUUACCUACGCUUAGGAUGUUGAUAGUCACAGCGUGUAC